rnacentral:rRNA from 1 species
GGAGCGAAAUAAAGUAGUGAAGUGUCCGGAGGACCUGUCGAGAAAAGCCGCUAUAGUGUGAUAUCUGCCCGUACCGUAAACCGACACAGGUGGAUGAGGAGAGAAUCCUAAGGCCGACGGAAGAAGCAUUGCUAAGGAACUCGGCAAAAUGUACCCGUAACUUCGGGAUAAGGGUAGCCCUCAUGUAUGAGUAUAUGAGGGCCGCAGAGAAGAGGCUCAAGCAACUGUUUAGCAAAAACACAGGUCUAUGCGAAACCGAAAGGUGAAGUAUAUGGGCUGACGCCUGCCCGGUGCUGGAAGGUUAAGAGGAGAGGUUAGAGCAAUCGAAGCUUUGAAUUUAAGCCCCAGUAAACGGCGGCCGUAACUAUAACGGUCCUAAGGUAGCGAAAUUCCUUGUCGGGUAAGUUCCGACCCGCACGAAAGGCGUAAUGAUUUGAGUACUGUCUCGGCAAUGCAUCCGGUGAAAUUGAAGUGCCAGUGAAGAUGCUGGCUACCCGCGCCAGGACGGAAAGACCCCAUGGAGCUUUACUCCAGCUUGAUACUGGGAUCCGGUAUUGUAUGUACAGGAUAGGUGGGAGGCUAAGAGAUUGUGGCGUCAGCUGCAAAGGAGCCGCUGUUGGGAUACCACCCUUACCGUACUGGAUUUCUAACCAUGGACCGUGAAACCGGUCCGGGGACAAUGUCUGGCGGGGAGUUUGACUGGGGCGGUCGCCUCCGAAAGAGUAUCGGAGGCGCUCAAAGGUUCCUUCAGGAUGGACGGAAACCAUCCGAAGAGUGCAAAGGCAUAAGGGAGCCUGACUGUGACACCGACGGGUGGAACAGGUACGAAAGUAGGACUUAGUGAUCCGGUGGCAGAACGUGGGAUUGCCAUCGCUCAACGGAUAAAAGCUACCCUGGGGAUAACAGGCUUAUCACUCCCAAGAGUUCACAUCGACGGAGUGGUUUGGCACCUCGAUGUCGGCUCAUCACAUCCUGGGGCUGUAGCAGGUCCCAAGGGUUGGGCUGUUCGCCCAUUAAAGUGGUACGCGAGCUGGGUUCAGAACGUCGUGAGACAGUUCGGUCCCUAUCCGGCGCGGGCGUAGGAUAUCUGAGAGGAGCUGUCCUUAGUACGAGAGGACCGGGAUGGACGGACCGCUGGUGUAUCUGCUGCGAAGGCAAUCGCAUAAGGCAGGGUAGCCAAGUCUGGCAGGGAUAAACGCUGAAGGCAUCUAAGCGUGAAGCCCCCCUCAAGAUGAGAUAUCCCCACGCAAGUGGUAAGACCCCUUGGAGAGUACGAGGUUGAUAGGCACAAGGUGUAAGAGUGGUAACAUUCUCAGCUGAUGUGUACUAAUAGGUCGAGGACUUAACCA